rnacentral:rRNA from 1 species
AACAAACGCUGGCGGCGUGCCUAAUACAUGCAAGUCGAACGGGGAAAGCUUUCGGGUGAGUACUAGUGGCGCACGGGUGAGUAACGCGUGGAUAAUCUGCCUUAGAGUGGGGGAUAACUAGUCGAAAGAUUAGCUAAUACCGCAUAAGACCACAAGAACUGCGGUUCAAGAGGUCAAAGGUUUUUCGCUCUAAGAUGAGUCCGCGUAGGAUUAGCUAGUUGGUGAGGUAACGGCUCACCAAGGCAACGAUCUUUAACUGGUCUGAGAGGAUGAUCAGUCACACUGGAACUGAGACACGGUCCAGACUCCUACGGGAGGCAGCAGUAGGGAAUAUUGCACAAUGGAGGAAACUCUGAUGCAGCGACGCCGCGUGAGUGAUGAAGGCCUUCGGGUCGUAAAGCUCUGUCGCAGGGGAAUAACACAAUGAAUGUACCCUGUAAGAAAGGAUCGGCUAACUUCGUGCCAGCCGCCGCCGUAAGAC